CUAUAUCCUAGGAUAUGUCUACAUUGAUCAUUACUGUGACCACAGCCUGAAUCUGCAGCUUAUGCUGCAUUUUCCACAAAGGCCAUCCAAGACAGUUCUGCAUUGGCCUCACUUGGCCCCUGUUUUCUGCACUACUGCUGUUACUUCUUCACCAGUCUAGGAGCUUUAUGGAAAGCCUGUCUUGAUAGACCAUCACUUCUGCUGAGGUCGGAAAUGUGUGCCUGAUCAUGUGUUCAAGAAGGAGUAGUCACUCUUCCUCUCUGUAUUGAUGACAUGGGAAAGGAGGAUGGCAUAGCUAUUGCUGCAGGGAUGAUUGAUCAAGCCAAAUUAGAGUCAGCCUAGCUAUCUACAUGGCAAAAGAACCUGAGGUUAUUUUAGAGUUUCCAAGAAACACCUGACUUUACCUUCACUUUGCUUAGAGAAAAGUUGGGGUAAGGUCAACAAAAGAUGGAUCAUCUUCAGAAGUAGCUAGAUGUUGUCUGGACAUAUCAAGGAAAAACAGCUGGCCUCAAUUUAUUUGAGGAUAAGAGGACAACCUUUCAUAAGGACAACCACCGUUGCAACAGCAGGAGAAACAGUAAGGAAACCAGACAAAAUGUUCACAUCCUGUUUUUCAGUGUCUGUCAGCAAAUUCUGUUUGGAU
rnacentral:lncRNA from 11 species